rnacentral:lncRNA from 1 species
AUGACUUGUGGUUGUUGAAUUGCGUCUGACUCUUCAUGACCCCAUUUGGCGUUAUCUUGGCUUAUCCUGGAGUGGUUUGCCAUUUCCUUCUCUGGCUCAUUUUACAGAUGAGGAAACUGAGGCAAACAGGGUGAAGUGACCUGCCUAAGGUCACACAGCUAGUAAGUGUCUAAGGCUAAAUUUGAACUCAGUCCUUCUCAACUCCAGGCCCACUCUUUAUCCACUGUGCCACCUAGCUGCCCAAGGAAGAUAGCUAAGAGGACAGAAGUCGCUAGGAGAAGGAGAAGCUGAGAAUGGAAGAAGAAUUUGACCUGGAAGGAGAAUACUGACUUUUGGGUUUUGCUUUGUGGUCUGCAUCUUUUCCUCUCCCUUCCAUGCCCAGAAGUCAAGGCUUAAGGGAACAUGAAAUAAACAUGUGAAGGACUGAAGAUUUCAUCUGUUUGAGCAACCCAGGAGAGGAGAAGCGUUCGGCCUGGACUGCAUAAUGAAGAAAAGUCACCGGCAGGAUCAGCACAUGGCAGGGCGCCAGCUCUGAGUCUGCUCUUCUUUAUGGAAGGCCAAGAAGGGAAGACACUGGGCUGGCGGAAGGCUGCCUGGAGUGAGAUUUCAAAAUUGGUCUUUCUCCUCCGGAGGCUUGGCUUCAAAUCUAAUUAGCUAACUAAUGACAGUAAAUGAUUGUAAUUAAUUGAUGAAUGCUAAAGUGGUUUGACUGUACAAAAGCACUGGGUAAAGCCU